CCCACCUCCUCCCUGCUUUUCUCCUUGCGCUUUGUUCAUGAAACUGUUCUUACAGGGAAAUGACCGGCCUCGGGGAUCGCUGUUCCAGAGUCAUCACACUGAGAUACAUGAGCAUAGAGCAAGGCUCCCUAUUUUAAACGAGAUUAGCUUGGAAGGUUUCUGUGUACUACAAGCCCUUGUGCCCUUUUGCUAAUGUAUGAAAGAACUAGGAGGAAAAAUAGCAUACGUAGUAAUGCUUCUGGAAAGACAUAGUUUUUAUCAAGACUCUCUCCUGAGUUAAGUGGCUCUUUUUUUUUGACAGCAGUCACACUGCUGUUCUCUGAAGGGCAAGAAGCUGAAUUUUCAGGGAGCCAAUUAGGAAAUGCUUCAGAAAGAAGCCCAGUGACAGCAUCAGUCUGAGAGAUUAACUACAGUAAAGAUCCUCAAAGCCCUGGCCGCCAAAGAGCAAUUCAGCCCUUUUUUUGUGCUGCUUAUGCGAUAUAGUACGAGAGAAGGUUACAUGAGAUGAAGACUACAAAGGCACAAGUGAUAAAUCCUUAAGAUGGAGACAUUAAACAAGUUCACAUUGCCUGCUCCUGCACCAGCUGAAGCCCUGGGAAGUGGGAAGUGAAAAUUAUUUUUGGACUAUGUUGUUUGCUCCUCACACAGAGAUAUUGCAACAGAAAAAACAGUCAACAGAAAAAUAAACAAACAAACAAACAAACAACAACAAAAAAGACCUGACAAAAGCAGGAUGAGAAAUGGAACAGAAGGGACAGAGGGGAAAACACAUUCAGAAUGGGGGGGAAAAUCAAGGGGAAGAUACAGAGCAAAAAUCUGUUGAACGAGAAGUGCAUUAAAGAUGCUGCUGCUUGGUAGCUGUGUGUAUGCAGAGCUUAGCAGUAAUAGAGGGCACAGACUUCCAUUUCAAGACUGACACGGCACUCAGAAGUCUUUCCAUUAACUUCAAUGAGCUUUGGAUUAAGCACUUAGGGCUAAAAAAGGUUAUGCUUAAACCAAAUCUCUUCCCCCCCCCAAGAAAGGAGCUUAAAUUAUGCAAAAAGUUGUAGUAAACUCAGAAAACUCAGAGAGCUCACAAGCCCUCUGAAUCCCCCAUAUUUACACUGCUUUCUUUAGACCUUGUGAUUGGAAAGGGAGAAAAGUAGCUUAUCUGUGAAUUUAAAUGAGCUCAGCAAUGGCUGGGGCUACAGAACGUCACACAAGAUGUAUUACAAACAAGCUGGCAAAGCAGUUUAUUACACCAAAAGCGUGCAGAGGAUUAAAGAAAUACAAGGGAAACCCUGAUUGCUAUUGUGCUUUGGGAUUAAUAGAGUUCAAAAUAAAGCCACUGUUUUUGCAUAGCCUGACUCCUGUGCUUGAACAUUUGAAAUACAUUGUAGUUAUAAUUUCUGCUGAAAACACAAAAAUUAACAAGUAAAACUUUGAAGACAACAAAAAUUUAAUAAACAAUUCUGUGAU
ensembl:lncRNA